rnacentral:misc_RNA from 1 species
GACAAUCCUCUUCCUCGGGCAUUUCCCACUCUGUUAAUUUCUUUGCUUGUUUGACAUAGUCUUUACUUAUCAGCCCAUGGAUACUAGAUUCCAGUGUUUUUUAUCAUAUCUUAAGUAAAAAAAAUCUUUUCUCCACCCUUGCUUCUCCUCAUACUCCAUCUAAAGUGACUUCAGCUAAUGGUUCACAAACUGUGGUUAAAGGAAUAGGGAAAGUACAACUUCUUCCUUCUGUUUCUUUAACCUCCGCCCUAUUUGCCUUUGAAUGCCCAUAUGAUUUGAUUUCCAUUAGCAAAUUAA